UGGUGGUCAUAAUUUUCAUAGCCUUACUCUGUAACAUGAUAACCAGGUGUUAGAAAAAUACCUCUAAAAUAAACAAAAUAGAUCAACAGAAAAAAAUUUUCAGCAGAAAUAGGAAGAGUAAAGAGAGCAGGAACAAAAAGGCUUCAAAAAGUGAAAUCAUAAUAAUAUCCUCAAACAGUUGAUAGGUUUAUGUGACUGUCUUGGCUAUCUUCUUGUGGUUUGUGAUACCUCAUAAUUUAUUAACAUAUGAAGAUAAUUUUUAAAAAAUUGGUGAUCUGGUUUUGGAAAUGUAUUCUGUAUAGUCCUUGAGUAUCCGCUGGCUAUGGGAACUGUUCUGGCUUUUCACAUAUGCUGUGUUCUCUAUUUUUUACAAGAUAAUUUUCUUAUACUAAAUUUUUAGGUGAAAAAUGCUAAGAAUCCACAAAACUGGUCAUUAUGGGAAACAUCAGAUUGUUACAGCUGCUCUCAAGCUUCAAGGUGGAUGUCUUAUAGUUUUAGAAAUAAUAGCAUACAUUUAACAGGAACAAAAAAAUCAGACCAAAGAGAUACAUAAAAGGGAAAAAUAAGAUUGGAAAUGUUAAUUUAAGUUU
rnacentral:lncRNA from 10 species